UACGGAGGGUGCGAGCGUUGUCCGGAAUCACUGGGCGUAAAGGGCGCGUAGGCGGCCUGAUAAGUCGGGGGUGAAAUCCUGCGGCUUAACCGCAGGGCUGCCUUCUAAACUGUCAGGCUCGAGCACAGUAGAGGCAGGUGGAAUUCCCGGUGUAGCGGUGGAAUGCGUAGAUAUCGGAAGGAACACCAGUGGCGAAAGCGGCUUCCUGGACCAGUACCGACGUUCAGGCACGAAAGCGUGGGGAGCAAACAGG
rnacentral:rRNA from 1 species